GGUCAAGCGACUAAGCGCACACGGUGGAUGCCUAGGCAGUUGGAGGCGAUGAAGGACGUAGGAGCCUGCGAAAAGGUUAGGGGAGCCGGCAAACAUGCUUUGAUCCUAACAUGUCCGAAUGGGGAAACCCACUGAGCUUGCUCAGUAUCGUGCACUGAAUACAUAGGUGUACGAGGCGAACCCGGGGAACUGAAACAUCUAAGUACCCGGAGGAAAAGAAAUCAACCGAGAUUCCCUUAGUAGCGGCGAGCGAACGGGGACCAGCCCUUAAGCAACUUGUGUUUUAGUGGAACCUUCUGGAAAGUUGGGCGAUACAGGGUGAUAGCCCCGUACACGAAAAGGCACUUGUUGUGAAAUCGAGUAGGACGGACACGUGAUAUUCUGUCUGAACAUGGGGGGACCAUCCUCCAAGGCUAAAUACUCCCAACUGACCGAUAGUGAACCAGUACCGUGAGGGAAAGGCGAAAAGAACCCCUGUGAGGGGAGUGAAAUAGAACCUGAAACCGUGUGCGUACAAGCAGUAGGAGCCUCUUCGUGGGGUGACUGCGUACCUUUUGUAUAAUGGGUCAGCGACUUAUUGUAUGUGGCAAGGUUAACCGUUUAGGGGAGCCGUAGCGAAAGCGAGUCUUAAUAGGGCGUUUUAGUCGCAUGCAAUAGACCCGAAACCGAGCGAUCUAUCCAUGGGCAGGUUGAAGGUUGAGUAACAUCAACUGGAGGACCGAACCCACUAAUGUUGAAAAAUUAGGGGAUGACCUGUGGAUCGGAGUGAAAGGCUAAUCAAGCUCGGAGAUAUCUGGUUCUCCCCGAAAUCUAUUUAGGUAGAGCCUCGGACGAACACCACUGGGGGUAGAGCACUGUUUGGGCUAGGGGGUCAUCCCGACUUACCAACCCCAUGCAAACUCCGAAUACCAGUGAGUGCUAUCCGGGAGACAGACGGCGGGUGCUAACGUCCGUCGUCAAGAGGGAAACAACCCAGACCACCAGCUAAGGUCCCAAAUGUUAAUUAAGUGGGAAACGAUGUGGGAAGGCUUAGACAGCUAGGAGGUUGGCUUAGAAGCAGCCAUCCUUUAAAGAAAGCGUAAUAGCUCACUAGUCGAGUCGGCCUGCGCGGAAGAUGUAACGGGGCUAAAUUAGCAACCGAAGCUGUGGCUGUGUCUUAUGACACGGGGUAGGGGAGCGUUCUGUAAGCUGUUGAAGGUGUGUUGUCAGGCAUGCUGGAGGUAUCAGAAGUGCGAAUGCUGACAUGAGUAACGACAAGGGGAGUGAAAAACUCCCCCGCCGGAAGAUCAAGGUUUCCUGUCCAACGUUAAUCGGGACAGGGUUAGUCGGCCCCUAAGGCGAGGCAGAAAUGCGUAGUCGAUGGGAAGCGCGUUAAUAUUCGUGCACUUUUUGUUAUUGCGAUGGAGGGACGGAGAAGGCUAGGCCAUCACGGCGUUGGUUGUCCGUGUUUAAGGUUGUAGGCUGGGGAUUUAGGCAAAUCCGGAUCCCUAAGGCUGAGAACUGAUGACGAGCUAACUUUUAGUUGGCGAAGUGGUUGAUGCCCUGCUUCCAAGAAAAGCUUCUAAGCUUCAGAUAACAAAGAACCGUACUGUAAACCGACACAGGUGAUCAGGUAGAGAAUACCAAGGCGCUUGAGAGAACUCGGGUGAAGGAACUAGGCAAAAUGGCACCGUAACUUCGGGAGAAGGUGCGCCACUGACGGUGAAGGAUUUACUCCGUAAGCUGUUGGUGGUCGAAGUAACCAGUCCGCUGCAACUGUUUAUUAAAAACACAGCACUCUGCAAACACGUAAGUGGACGUAUAGGGUGUGACGCCUGCCCGGUGCUGGAAGGUUAAUUGAUGGGGUUAGCGUAAGCGAAGCUCUUGAUCGAAGCCCCAGUAAACGGCGGCCGUAACUAUAACGGUCCUAAGGUAGCGAAAUUCCUUGUCGGGUAAGUUCCGACCUGCACGAAUGGCGUAAUGAUGGCGGAGCUGUCUCCACCCGAGACUCAGUGAAAUUGAAAUCGCUGUUAAGAUGCAGUGUACCCGCGGCUAGACGGAAAGACCCCGUGAACCUUUACUGUAGCUUUGCACUGAACUUGAACCUAUUUGUGUAGGAUAGGUGGGAGGCUUUGAAGCCAUGACGCUAGUUGUGGUGGAGCCGUCCUUGAAAUACCACCCUGGUAUGUUUGAGGUUCUAACGUCGGCCCGUUAUCCGGGUUGCGGACAGUGCAUGGUGGGCAGUUUGACUGGGGCGGUCUCCUCCCAAAGAGUAACGGAGGAGCACGAAGGUUGGCUAAUCCUGGUCGGAAAUCAGGAGUUUAGUGUAAUGGCACAAGCCAGCUUGACUGCGAGACUGACACGUCGAGCAGGUACGAAAGUAGGUCAUAGUGAUCCGGUGGUUCUGUAUGGAAGGGCCAUCGCUCAACGGAUAAAAGGUACUCCGGGGAUAACAGGCUGAUACCGCCCAAGAGUUCACAUCGACGGCGGUGUUUGGCACCUCGAUGUCGGCUCAUCACAUCCUGGGGCUGAAGCCGGUCCCAAGGGUAUGGGCUGUUCGCCAUUUAAAGUGGUACGCGAGCUGGGUUUAGAACGUCGUGAGACAGUUCGGUCCCUAUCUGCCGUGGGCGUUGGAGAUUUGAGAAGAGUUGCUCCUAGUACGAGAGGACCGGAGUGAACGAACCUCUGGUGUUCGGGUUGUCAUGCCAAUGGCAUUGCCCGGUAGCUAUGUUCGGACGGGAUAACCGCUGAAAGCAUCUAAGCGGGAAGCCUCCUUCAAGAUAAGAUCUCCCUGGGGCCUUGAGCCCCCUAAAGAGCCGUUGAAGACUACGACGUUGAUAGGUUGGGUGUGGAAGCGCUGUGAGGCGUUGAGCUAACCAAUACUAAUUGCUCGUGAGGCUUGACCAUAUAACA
rnacentral:rRNA from 2 species